CGGGCUGUAGCGCAGUUGGUUAGCGUACCAGACUGGGGGUCUGGGGGUCGGCGGUUCAAGUCCGCCCAGCCCGA
rnacentral:tRNA from 1 species